rnacentral:lncRNA from 1 species
CUAUCUCAUUUAAAAUCAAUGCAUUCAAACUUCAUUUAAUUCAAUCACGUAUCAUAUUUUGUAUGGUAUCGUCAUACCCGACUUGCAAGUCAUCAAUAUCACAUCCACAUAUGCAUAAUCAUGUAAAAACCAAGGUGCUUCAUCAUUUACAAGUGGUGAACAAUAAUUAUUUCAAAUUCAUGCUCUCUUUUGUUGGUCACAAUAUGAUAUGGGGUAUCAAGACAUUAUCAUGGGAAUUUGAAAGCAAUUUAUCAUUCAUAUUUAUCAAACUUCCAUGGAGAAUCUCAAAUCACAUAUGCAUGGUUUC